rnacentral:rRNA from 1 species
GAUGAACGCUAGCGGCAGGCCUAACACAUGCAAGUCGAGGGGCAGCACAGGUAGCAAUACUGGGUGGCGACCGGCGGAUGGGUGCGUAACGCGUAUGCAACCUACCAUUGAUUGGGGCAUAGCCCGAAGAAAUUCGGAUUAAUACUCCAUAAUAUUCAUCAAAGGCAUCUUUUAUGAAUUAAAGCUUUUGCGAUCAAUGAUGGGCAUGCGUGACAUUAGUUAGUUGGUGAGGUAACGGCUCACCAAAACGAUGAUGUCUAGGGGUUCUGAGAGGAUUAUCCCCCAACUGGUACUGAGACACGGACCAGACUCCUACGGGAGGCAGCAGUGAGGAAUAUUGGUCAAUGGACGCAAGUCUGAACCAGCCAUGCCGCGUGCAGGAUGACGGCCCUAUGGGUUGUAAACUGCUUUUCCACGGGAAGAACCCUCCGACGUGUCGGAGACGUGACGGUACCGUGGGAAUAAGCAUCGGCUAACCCGUGCC